rnacentral:rRNA from 1 species
UACGUAGGGUGCAAGCGUUAAUCGGAAUUAUUGGGCGUAAAGAGCUCGUAGGCGGUUUGUCGCGUCUGCCGUGAAAGUCCGGGGCUCAACUCCGGAUCUGCGGUGGGUACGGGCAGACUAGAGUGCAGUAGGGGAGACUGGAAUUCCUGGUGUAGCGGUGAAAUGCGCAGAUAUCAGGAGGAACACCGAUGGCGAAGGCAGGUCUCUGGGCUGUAACUGACGCUGAGGAGCGAAAGCAUGGGGAGCGAACAGG